AGAGUUUGAUCCUGGCUCAGAUUGAACGCUGGCGGAAUGCUUUACACAUGCAAGUCGAGCGGCAGCGCGGGGCAACCUGGCGGCGAGCGGCGAACGGGUGAGUAAUGCAUCGGAACGUGUCCAUGUCGUGGGGGAUAGCCCGGCGAAAGCCGGAUUAAUACCGCAUACGCCCGAGAGGGGAAAGUGGGGGACCGCAAGGCCUCACGCGAUUGGAUCGGCCGAUGUCCGAUUAGCUAGUUGGCGGGGUAAAGGCCCACCAAGGCGAUGAUCGGUAGCUGGUCUGAGAGGAUGGUCAGCCACACUGGGACUGAGACACGGCCCAGACUCCUACGGGAGGCAGCAGUGGGGAAUUUUGGACAAUGGGGGCAACCCUGAUCCAGCCAUUCCGCGUGAGUGAAGAAGGCCUUCGGGUUGUAAAGCUCUUUUGUCCGGAACGAAACGGGCGACGUGAAUAUCGUCGUCUACUGACGGUACCGGAAGAAUAAGCACCGGCUAACUACGUGCCAGCAGCCGCGGUAAU
rnacentral:rRNA from 1 species